CUACCUGAUCCGAGGUCAACCUUUGGAAAAUUGGGGGGUUUUACGGCAAGAGUCCCUCCGGAUCCCAGUGCGAGACGUAAAGUUACUACGCAAAGGAGGCUCCGGGAGGGUCCGCCACUACCUUUGAGGGCCUACAUCAGCUGUAGGGCCCCAACACCAAGCAGAGCUUGAGGGUUGAAAUGACGCUCGAACAGGCAUGCCCGCCAGAAUGCUGGCGGGCGCAAUGUGCGUUCAAAGAUUCGAUGAUUCACUGAAUUCUGCAAUUCACAUUACUUAUCGCAUUUCGCUGCGUUCUUCAUCGAUGCCAGAACCAAGAGAUCCGUUGUUAAAAGUUUUGAUUAUUUGCUUGUACCACUCAGAAGAAACGUCGUUAAAUCAGAGUUUGGUUAUCCUCCGGCGGGCGCCGACCCGCCCGGGGGCGGGAGGCCGGGAGGGUCACGGAGACCCUACCCGCCGAAGCAACAGUUAUAGGUAUGUUCACAAAGGGUUGUAGAGCGUAAACUCAGUAAUGAUCCCUACGCAGGUUCACCUACGGAA
rnacentral:rRNA from 1 species